GGGGUGAUGGCUCAGUGGUAGAGCUCUUGCCUAACAUGAAUGGGGCACUGGGUUCAAUCUUCAGCACCACA
rnacentral:tRNA from 1 species